UCGCUACUACCGAUUGAAUGGCUUAGUGAGGCCUCCGGAUUGGCUUAAGAAAGGGGGCAACCUCAUUCUGGAGCUGAAAAGCUGGUCAAACUUGGUCAUUUAGAGGAAGUAA
rnacentral:rRNA from 1 species